CUUGAGUACUUGCAUAAAAAUGGAAUCAUCCACUUGCUUGUUUUCUAGUGGUGUUCAUAGAGUCAUAUUAUAAUAUGUAUGAUUGAUCUAAGCUUGACCGAUCCAUCACGCGAUCUGACUCUGAUAUCAUCUUUGUGGGUUGCAGGGUCGAAGGAAGUACGAUGUUGCUGCCUCUGCUUGCUCGAGUUCCAAUUGACAGAGUAUUGGCCUCCACCGUCCCGCAUUCAUUUGGUCAUCCCAUUAUAAUAUUAAUUUCAGGUUUUGAUUUCACUACUAUGGCACAGAGCACUUACUUCAACUUGGACUUUCACCACUUCCUUGAAGCAACACCGACACUUUCAGCACCAAAACACAACCUCCUUGCAGUUAUGGAUAAAGGAAAUUCAAUUAAAUAAACUUCAAAUGAUGAACCUUGCACUGGAGCCAAGGAAGAAAAUAAUACAACUACUUCUAAAAAUGAUAAUUAGUGGUGUAGUUUUUGUAUGGACAUUGGACAUAACACAUUGUUUCCUGGCUGGUAUUACUUUCGUCUCAUAAGUCCUUUAUUUAUCUUUCAAGGUUUCUGCUUACAAAGAAAAGAAGAUGAUGCUCCUUGCAGCGAAGUCAAAGAAGAAAUUCAUUUAACUACUUCUCAUGUGGAUUUUGUUGAUAAGGGUAGAAGUGACUGUUGAUGCUCGUUUCAUAGUAACAAUAGGACAUUCAUCUGGGGUCUAAGGUUCUGCGAAAGAGCUGGAAGGGAGUAUGGAGGUCUAGAUUUUUUCACAGUCUUCAUUAUUCACUCAUGUAGUCCAAUCUCACUAGAAUUGUGUCUCUCCCUCAAAUUGGAGACGAUUGUGCAUGGACUUGUAGUUCUGCUUAUGUCAUAAGAUGAAUAUCAGAUGAGCUAUAUUGCAUUUACGAGAAAAGCCAAACUCUCCGGGUCUAACCAUGUCUUCAAGUGGGAGAAGUAAGGCACAGUGACUUCGUCGAUGCAGUGUGGAGACCCAAGGUAGUGUCUUGGUAGAGGGUUGCAUCUUCAAUGGACUUCUAUUAGUUGGGUCAAAAAUAGCUAGUUUCAUUAUAUUGCUCUUUUAUGAAUAUUAGUUUAAUAGUUCUAGUAUUUUAUUAUACAUUAUGAUCUAGAAUAUUCUAUUUCCUAGGAUGGUGCCACAUGUAAGGUCACCUUUCAUUCCUUAAGAGGAUAGAUAGUAUAAGUUGUAUUGCUUCCAUGGUGAAAUGUUAACAAGAAA